rnacentral:rRNA from 1 species
UACAGAGGUCUCGAGCGUUGUUCGGAUUCAUUGGGCGUAAAGGGCGCGUAGGCGGCGGGGUAAGUCGGGUGUGAAAUCUCAGAGCUCAACUCUGAAAUGGCACUUGAUACUGCUCUGCUAGAGGACUGGAGAGGAGAUUGGAAUUCACGGUGUAGCAGUGAAAUGCGUAGAUAUCGUGAGGAAGACCGGUGGCGAAGGCGGAUCUCUGGGACAGUUCCGUGACGCUGAGGCGCGAAGGCCAGGGGAGCAAACGGG